UUUUUAUUUUCAUUUUUCCUUAACUAACCCCUCAGCUUGACGACUCUUCCACGACCGACGCUACUAUUUCCAGUUUCGCCGGCCGCGUGUCUGCCGCCGUCCCAACCGCUUUGUCCCCCGAUCUCCGACGGCGACACCUCCAACGUCCAUCUCGAUUGAGACAAUAUGCUUCAAUUUUUUCAGAUCUAUAGCUUGUUUUGAAUCUUACCUUUUUGCAUUAUUUCAUCUUUUGAGUUUUGAGAGAUUUUGGUUAUGGCGACGAGGAAUAAGACCUUGGUAUUUAGGAAAUAUAGAGAUGCGUUGAAGAGCGUUAGGGUUCCAUCGGGUUUAUCGACUCAAUCAGCCACGACAAGCUCCGGUGGCGGUCCGGUGAUCGAAUUAGUGAACACGUCGCUUCUCCAAAAUCGCUCUUAUGCUCCACUAAGUACCGAAGAUCCUGGUAAUUCGAGUAAAGGUGCACUUACAGUCGGCCUGCCACCAGCUUGGGUGGAUGUAUCAGAAGAAAUAGCUGCAAAUGUGCAACGUGCACGCACGAAAAUGACCGAGUUAUCCAAGGCUCAUGCUAAAGCUUUGAUGCCUUCAUUUGGAGAUGGUAAGGAAGAUCAACGCAUGAUUGAGUCUCUAACUCAAGAGAUAACAAAUCUUAUAAAGAAAUCAGAGAAGAAAUUACAAAGACUUUCUGCAGCUGGUCCUUCUGAGGAUUCAAAUGUGCGAAAAAAUGUGCAGCGCUCUCUUGCCACUGACCUUCAGAACCUCUCGAUGGAACUUCGAAAGAAACAGUCAACUUACUUGAAGCGCCUUGGGCAACAAAAAGAGGGUCACGAUGGUGUUGAUUUAGAGAUGAACCUAAACGGUAGUAGAGCUAGAAUGGAUGACGAAAAUUUGGACGACAUGGUCUUUAAUGAGUAUCAAAUGUCCAAGCUGAAAAAAAGCGAAGCAUUCACAGUAGAAAGGGAAAGAGAGAUCCAACAGGUUGUGGAAUCAGUAAAUGAGCUUGCUCAGAUUAUGAAGGAUUUGUCAGUACUUGUAAUAGACCAGUUUUCUCGAAGCAGGGUACUAUUGUUGAUAGGAUAGAUUACAACAUUCAGAAUGUUGCAACUACAGUUGAGGAGGGACUUAAGCAGCUGCAGAAGGCUGAGAGAACACAAAAGCACGGAGGGAUGGUGAUGUGUGCGACGACGCUUGUGAUCAUGUGCUUUAUCAUGUUGGUCCUACUAAUCCUCAAGGAGAUAUUGUAAUGAGUUGUUAGCAUAUGUAAUUUCCAAAAUUCAAUUAUUCUUAGCGCUCUCCCCUACAACUUUCACACACUUAUAAAUGGAGUCGUGUCGCCGAAAUGGUAAAGCUUUAAAUUGCCUCAGUUCAUACCUUAGAUCAAAUUCUCUUUUUCUUUUUUGAUCUAAUUCAAAAUUUUGUAAUGGGGGAGGAGCCUUUACUAAUGACUAGGGAAUGAAUGCCCUGGAAAUUGUAUAGAGGAUGCUGUUCUUUUGUCACAGACCUCUUACGAUUCUUUUGAUUUUCCCGUGGAGGUUGGUGGCCUUGUUUCACUGAUACUUCUCUACGGAGAGAGAGAGAUGAGGCAUUUCGAAUGUUUGUAUCGAGUUUUCAAUUUAAUUAUAUGAGAAAUGAGAUGAAUCAAUUAUAGUUUCUUUGCAUUUCA